rnacentral:rRNA from 1 species
CAAGUNGUAACAAGGUCUCGGUUGGUGAACCAGCGGAGGGAUCAUUA